rnacentral:rRNA from 1 species
GACGAGUGGCGAACGGUGAGUAAUACAUCGGAACGUGUCCAGUCGUGGGGGAUAACUACUCGAAAGAGUAGCUAAUACCGCAUACGAUCUGAGGAUGAAAGCGGGGGACCUUCGGGCCUCGCGCGAUUGGAGCGGCCGAUGGCAGAUUAGGUAGUUGGUGGGAUAAAAGCUUACCAAGCCGACGAUCUGUAGCUGGUCUGAGAGGACGACCAGCCACACUGGGACUGAGACACGGCCCAGACUCCUACGGGAGGCAGCAGUGGGGAAUUUUGGACAAUGGGCGAAAGCCUGAUCCAGCAAUGCCGCGUGCAGGAUGAAGGCCUUCGGGUUGUAAACCGCUUUUGUACGGAACGAAAAAGCUUCUCNUAAUACGAGAGGCCCAUGACGGUACCGUAAG